rnacentral:rRNA from 1 species
UUUGAUGGCGACCGGCGCACGGGUGAGUAACACGUAUCCAACCUGCCGAUGACUCGGGGAUAGCCUUUCGAAAGAAAGAUUAAUACCCAUGGCAUAGUUCUUCCGCAUGGUAGAACUAUUAAAGAAUUUCGGUCAUCGAUGGGGAUGCGUUCCAUUAGGUUGUUGGCGGGGUAACGGCCCACCAAGCCUUCGAUGGAUAGGGGUUCUGAGAGGAAGGUCCCCCACAUUGGAACUGAGACACGGUCCAA